rnacentral:rRNA from 1 species
AAUCAACGCUGGCGGCGUGCCUCAGACAUGCAAGUCGAACGAUUAAAGCUCUCUUCGGAGAGUGCAUAGAGUGGCGCACGGGUGAGUAACACGUAAGUAAUCUACCCUCGAGUGGGGAAUAACGUCCGGAAACGGACGCUAAUACCGCAUAAUGCAGCGGCACCGCAAGGUGACAGUUGUUAAAGAUUUAUCGCUUGAGGAGGAGCUUGCGGCAGAUUAGCUAGUUGGUAAGGUAAUGGCUUACCAAGGCUACGAUCUGUAACCGGUCUUAGAGGACGGUCGGGUCACACUGACACUGAAUAACGGGUCAGACUCCUACGGGAGGCAGCAGUCGGGAAUUUUGGGCAAUGGCGAAAGCCUGACCCAGCAACGCCGCGUGAAGGAUGAAGUAUUUCGGUAUGU